rnacentral:rRNA from 1 species
GGUCAAGCUAGUAAGGGCACACGGUGGAUGCCUAUGGCGCCAAGAGCCGAUGAAGGACGCGGCGAGCUGCGAUAAGCCUCGGGGAGCCGCAAACAGGCUUUGAUCCGGGGAUAUCCGAAUGGGGCAACCCGCUCCGAUUAAUAUCGGGGCAUCUAUGGCUGAAUACAUAGGCCAUAGAGGCGAACGAGGGGAACUGAAACAUCUUAGUACCCUCAGGAAAAGAAAGCAAUAGCGAUUCCCUUAGUAGUGGCGAGCGAAACGGGAACAGCCUAAACCGUAGUUGCUUCGGCAAGUACGGGGUUGCGGGACCACAAUGUGGGAUGCGGAUAGUUAGUUGAACAGGCUGGAAAGCCUGGCCAUAGAGAGUGAUAGCCUCGUAAGCAAAAACUUGAAGCGCCCUAGUGGUAUCCCAAGUACCACGGGACACGGGAAAUCCUGUGGGAAUCUGGGAGGACCAUCUUCCAAGGCUAAAUACUACCUGACGACCGAUAGUGUACUAGUACCGUGAGGGAAAGGCGAAAAGAACCCCGGGAGGGGAGUGAAAUAGAACCUGAAACCGUUUGCUUACAAGCAGUGGGAGUCCGCCGCAAGGUGGAUGACUGCGUGCCUUUUGUAUAAUGAGUCAGCGAGUUACUCUGUGUGGCAAGGUUAAGCCGUGAGGCGGAGCCGUAGCGAAAGCGAGUCUGAAAUGGGCGUAUUAGUCGCAUGGAGUAGACCCGAAGCCGAGUGAUCUAUCCAUGGGCAGGGUGAAGUCUCGGUAACACGAGAUGGAGGCCCGAACCAGUGUAGGUUGAAAACUGCUUGGAUGACCUGUGGAUAGGAGUGAAAGGCUAAUCAAACUCGGUGAUAGCUGGUUCUCCCCGAAAUAUAUUUAGGUAUAGCCUUGCAAGUUAAGUAACGGAGGUAGAGCACUGGAUGGGCUAGGGGUCUUACCGGACUACCAAACCUAACCAAACUCCGAAUGCCGUUAACUUUAAUUGCAGGAGUCAGACUACGGGUG